ACAUCCAGAGAAUUUAGCAGAGAUGCUUUAGUGCCUUCGGGAACUCUGAGACAGGUGCUGCAUGGCUGUCGUCAGCUCGUGUUGUGAAAUGUUGGGUUAAGUCCCGCAACGAGCGCAACCCUUAUCCUUUGUUGCCAGCACGUAAUGGUGGGAACUCAAAGGAGACUGCCGGUGAUAAACCGGAGGAAGGUGGGGAUGACGUCAAGUCAUCAUGGCCCUUACGAGUAGGGCUACACACGUGCUACAAUGGCGCAUACAAAGAGAAGCGGCCUCGCGAGAGCAAGCGGACCUCAUAAAGUGCGUCGUAGUCCGGAUUGGAGUCUGCAACUCGACUCCAUGAAGUCGGAAUCGCUAGUAAUCGUAAAUCAGAAUGUUACGGUGAAUACGUUCCCGGGCCUUGUACACACCGCCCGUCACACCAUGGGAGUGGGUUGCAAAAGAAGUAGAUAGCUUAACCUUCGGGAGGGCGUUUACCACUUUGUGAUUCAUGACUGGGGUGAAGUCGUAACAAGGUAAGCGUAGUGCU
rnacentral:rRNA from 1 species